rnacentral:pre_miRNA from 1 species
GCGCUGUGAAAGACGAUGGUAGUGAGAUGCAGAACGGGUCCGUUCGUCUCCCUACCCCGUCUUUUCUGGUGGG